rnacentral:rRNA from 1 species
AUUGAACGCUGGCGGCAUGCCUUACACAUGCAAGUCGAACGGUAACAGGUCUUCGGAUGCUGACGAGUGGCGAACGGGUGAGUAAUACAUCGGAACGUGCCUAGUAGUGGGGGAUAACUACUCGAAAGAGUGGCUAAUACCGCAUGAGAUCUACGGAUGAAAGCAGGGGAUCGCAAGACCUUGUGCUACUAGAGCGGCCGAUGGCAGAUUAGGUAGUUGGUGGGAUAAAAGCUUACCAAGCCGACGAUCUGUAGCUGGUCUGAGAGGACGAUCAGCCACACUGGGACUGAGAAACGGCCCAGACUCCUACGGGAGGCAGCAGUGGGGAAUUUUGGACAAUGGGCGCAAGCCUGAUCCAGCAAUGCCGCGUGCAGGAUGAAGGUCUUCGGGUUGUAAACUGCUUUUGUACGGAACGAAAAGCCCCGGGUUAAUACCCUGGGGUCAUGACGGUACCGUAGGAAUAAGCACCGGCUAACUACGUGCCAGCCGCCGCGGUAA